rnacentral:rRNA from 1 species
GUCAGGUAGCAAGGGCACAGGGCGGAUGCCUUGGCUCUGGGAAGCGAAGAAGGACGUGGCAAGCUGCGAUAAGCCUCGGGGAAGAGCAAACAUCUUUUGAUCCGGGGAUUUCCCAAUGGGGCAACCCGCAUGGCUGUUGAGGCCAUGCACUGUUAAGUGAAUACAUAGCUUAGCAGGGCGAACUCGGGGAACUGAAACAUCUCAGUACCCGAAGGAAAAGAAAUCAAGCGAGAUUCUGCUAGUAGCGGCGAGCGAACGCGGAAGAGCCCAAACCGCCGGGUGCGCCCGGCGGGGUUGAAGGGCCGCCAUUAAAGGAUAAUCGGAGGAUUAGCUGAAGUGCCUGGGAAGGUACGGCACAGAGGGUUAGACCCCCGUAAGCGAAAGUCUGAGGAUGUCCGAGGCGGUACCUGAGUAGGACGGGACACGAGAAAUCCUGUUUGAAUCCGGGGGGACCACCCUCCAAGGCUAAAUAUUACCCGGAGACCGAUAGUGUACCAGUACCGUGAGGGAAAGGUGAAAAGCACCUCGAACAGAGGAGUGAAAUAGAUCCUGAAACCCUGUGUCUACAAGCAGUGGAAGCCUUAUAUUAGAGGCUAGUUUCCAGGUUCUAGAAGCUGGAAGUCAGAUGCUGAAGGCUGGAGAGAAACACAUUCUUGAUUCAUUUUGAGGAUGUUGUAGUUUUCUGGAAUUUAGUAUUUAAGAGUCUGGCAACUGGAGUCUGGCAUCUAGCCUCUAAGCGGGGCGACCGCGUGCCUUUUGCAUAAUGAGCCAACGAGUUGUCUGUCGGUGGCAGGUUAAGUUUUUAACGGAGCCACAGCGAAAGCGAGUCUGAAGUGGGCGCGAGUCAUCGGCAACAGACCCGAAACCGAGUGAUCUACCCCUGUCCAGGUUGAAGCCUGGGUAAGACCAGGUGGAGGACCGAACCGCUGAGCCUUAAAACGUUCUCGGAUGAGGUUGGGGUAGGAGUGAAAGGCUAAUCAAACUCGGAGAUAGCUGGUUCUCCCCGAAAUAUAUUGAGGUAUAGCCUCGUGACAGACCGCCGGAGGUAGAGCACUGGAUGGACUAGGGCCCCCACCAGGGUACCAAACCCAACCAAACUGCGAAUGCCGGCGAGUUGUUUCACGGGAGUCAGACGGCGGGAGCUAACUUCCGUCGUCGAAAGGGAAACAACCCGGACCAUCAGCUAAGGCCCCCAAGUCAUGACUAAGUGGGAAAGGAAGUGGGAGCGCCCAGACAGCCAGGAGGUUGGCUUAGAAGCAGCCACCCUUUAAAGAAAGCGUAACAGCUCACUGGUCAAGCGAGCCUGCACCGAAAAUAUAACGGGGCUCAAGUCAUGCGCCGAAGCUGUGGGAUUAGAGGCUGGAUUCUAGAAACUAGAUUCUAGAGAGGUAACAAAUGAGUGUUGAAAGUUUGAAGGUGUAUUAAAAAAGCUAUGAUCUGGCUUUGGAGAUACAUGGAAAAACUCUUCAGUUUCCUAAAAUGGAGCAAUACGGAGGUCUUGCGGAUCAAUUAAGACGAUCCAGCAAAUCUGUAGCUGCCAAUAUAACUGAAGGUUAUGGUAAACAGGAGUUUUAUCCAAAAGAAUUCAAACGAUUCCUGAUCACUGCACUAGCAAGCUGUGAUGAGACAAUACUCUGGUUAAAGAUGAGCUGCGAUUUAGGAUAUUUUCCGGAGGCAGAAACUCAAAAGUUUCUGUCUGCAUAUUCAGAAGUUGGGAAAAUGCUGAGUGGUCUUAUCAAAAAAGUAUCUGGCAACUAGUAUCUAGUAUCUAGCUUCUAAUCGGUAGGGGAGCGUUCCCUGUGCGGUGAAGCUGAACCGGAAGGAUCAGUGGAGCGCAGGGAAGUGAGGAUGUUGGCAUAAGUAACGAAAAUGCGAGUGAGAAACUCGCACGCCGAAAGCCCAAGGUUUCCCGGGCCAUGUUAUUCAGCCCGGGGUUAGUCGGCACCUAAGACGAGGCCGAAAGGCGUAGUCGAUGGCAAACCGGUUCAUAUUCCGGUACUUGCACGUGCGCGUGAUGGAGGGACGCAGGAGGAUAGGCCGUCCAGGUGAUGGAUGUCCUGGUUCAAGGCAUUAGGCGGAAGUCCCAGGUAAAUCCGGGACUUCAUUAAACGCCGAGAGCUGAUGACGAGAGGCUUUGCUUCGCAAAGCGGUCGAUUCCACACUGCCAAGAAAAGCUUCUAAGCAUAGCACGGGCGAACCGUACCCCAAACCGACACAGGUGGGCGGGUAGAGAAUACCAAGGCGCUUGAGGGAAAUCAUGUUAAGGAACUCUGCAAAUUGACUCCGUAACUUCGGAAGAAGGAGUGCCUGCAGCGGUGAAGGGACUUGCUCCCUGAGCUUCAGCAGGCCGCAGUGACCAGGCCCAGCCGACUGUUUAGCAAAAACACAGCACUCUGCUAAAUCGCAAGAUGAUGUAUAGGGUGUGACGCCUGCCCGGUGCCGGAAGGUUAAGGGGAGGGGUUACCCCUCACUUAGAUUAUUUGAGAGUCUCUAUGUUUUA